rnacentral:sRNA from 1 species
UUCAAUGAAUUUCGAGUUGAAUGCUGG